UACGUAGGGGGCAAGCGUUGUCCGGAAUCAUUGGGCGUAAAGAGCGUGUAGGCGGCCAGAUAAGUCCGCUGUGAAAUCUCGAGGCUCAACUUCGAGCUGUCGGUGGAAACUGUCUGGCUAGAGUCCGGAAGAGGAGAAUGGAAUUCCUGGUGUAGCGGUGGAAUGCGCAGAUAUCAGGAGGAACACCGGUGGCGAAGGCGGGUCUCUGGGCAGUAACUGACGCUGAGGAGCGAAAGCGUGGGGAGCGAACAGG
rnacentral:rRNA from 1 species